GACAGAGGGUGCAAACGUUGUUCGGAAUUACUGGGCGUAAAGCGUGUGUAGGCGGCCGCGUAAGUCGGAUGUGAAAGCCCUGGGCUCAACCCAGGAAGUGCACUCGAUACUGCGUGGCUUGAGUACUGGAGAGGUUGGUGGAAUUCUCGGUGUAGAGGUGAAAUUCGUAGAUAUCGAGAGGAACACCGGUGGCGAAGGCGGCCAACUGGACAGAUACUGACGCUGAGGUGCGAAAGCGUGGGGAGCAAACAGG
rnacentral:rRNA from 1 species